rnacentral:rRNA from 1 species
CACGUAGGGCGCAAGCGUUGUCCGGAAUUAUUGGGCGUAAAGAGCUCGUAGGCGGUCUGUUGCGUCCGCUGUGAAAACCCGGGGCUUAACUCUGGGCUGGCAGUGGAUACGGACAGACUAGAGGUAGGUAGGGGAGAAUGGAAUUCCCGGUGUAGCGGUGAAAAUGCGCAGAUAUCGAGAGGAACACCGGUGGCGAAGGCGGCCAACUGGACGAAAUACUGACGCUGAGACACGAAAAGCGUGGGGGGAGCAAAACAGGG